rnacentral:rRNA from 1 species
AGUUUUAUGAAUAUAAAUGUAAGAUGGUUCCUGCCCAAUGAGAUUUCUUAAAUGGCCGCAGUACCUUGACUGUGCUAAGGUAGCAUAAUAAAUUGGUCUUUAAUUGGGGUCUGGAAUGAAUGGAUAAUUUGGAUAAAGAUUGUCUUUUUUUGAUUUUAUCAAAAUUAUAUAUUAGGUGAAAAAACCUAAACUACUUUAGAAAGACGAGAAGACCCUUAGAAUUUACUAAAUAAGCUAAAAUUUUAGUCUUUUUUUUGUUGGGGUGACAUAUUAACAUUUUGUAAACUUAUUAUUUAACAAGUAAAAUAUUUGUUAGUAAGAAAAAAUUACCUUAGGGAUAACAGCAUAAUCUUUUUAUUGGAUUAUGACCUCGAUGUUGGACUAGGAACCUAAUAAUUAGUAAUUAAACUGGUUAGUUCUGUUCGAACUUUUUUUCCU